UGUUCUGUCUAUUCCCAGCUUCUUCAUGGUU
rnacentral:piRNA from 1 species